GUGCCCUGCCUCUGAUGAAGCCCAUGUUGGUAGGGACAUCUGAGAGUUGAUGAAUGCCAACUGCUCUGAUGGUGGAGC
ensembl:snoRNA